GACGAACGCUGGCGGCGUGCCUAAUACAUGCAAGUAGGACGCAGUUGCGAACGGGUUAGUAACGCGUAGGUCACUGCUUGUUAGAGGGGGAUAACUAUUGGAAACGAUAGCUAAUACCGCAUACUAGUAGAUGGACCUGCGUUGUAUUAGCUAGUAGGUAGGGUAAUGGCCUACCUAGGCGACGAUACAUAGCCGAGCUGGGAGGGUUGUCGGCCAAACUGGGACUGGGACACGGCCCAGAAUUCCAAGGGGGGGAGCAGUAGGGAAUCUUCGGAAAUGGGGGGAAACCUGAACGAGCAACGGCGGGGGAGUGAAGAAGGUUUUCGGAGCGUAAAGCUAUGUUGUUAAGGAAGCGGUACUUAAACAGAAAGCGACGGCUAACUACGUGCCAGCAGCCGCGGUAAUAC
rnacentral:rRNA from 1 species